AACCACUUCGGUGGUCAUCCGUAAAAAUUGGAACGAUACAGAGAAGAUUAGCAUGGCCCCUGUGCAAGGAUGACACGCAUAAAUCGAGAAGUAUCGCACUUUUUG
rnacentral:snRNA from 1 species